UUCCGGUUGAUCCUGCCGGAGGCCAUUGCUAUCGGUGUCCGAUUUAGCCAUGCGAGUUGUACGUUUACCGUAGCGAACUGCUCAGUAACACGUGGUCAAGCUGCCCUAUGGACUGGGAUAACCUCGGGAAACUGAGGCUAAUCCCGGAUAACACAUCCAGCCUGGAACUGGCGGAUGUGUGAAACGCUCCGGCGCCAUAGGAUGUGACUGCGGCCGAUUAGGUAGACGGUGGGGUAACGGCCCACCGUGCCGAUAAUCGGUACGGGUCAUGAGAGUGAGAGCCCGGAGACGGACUCUGAGACACGAGUCCGGGCCCUACGGGGCGCAGCAGGCGCGAAACCUUUACACUGCACGCCAGUGCGAUAGGGGGACACCGAGUGCGAGGGCAUAGAGCCCUCGCUUUUCUGGACCGUAAGGUGGUCCAGGAACAAGGGCUGGGCGAGACCGGUGCCAGCCGCCGCGGUAACACCGGCAGCCCAAGUGAUGGCCGAUAUUAUUGGGCCUAAAGCGUCCGUAGCUGGCCGGGCAAGUCCGUCGGGAAAUCCACGCGCUUAACGCGUGGGCGUCCGGCGGAAACUGUUCGGCUUGGGACCGGAAGAUCCGAGGGGUACGUCCGGGGUAGGAGUGAAAUCCCGUAAUCCUGGACGGACCACCGAUGGCGAAAGCACCUCGGAAGGACGGAUCCGACAGUGAGGGACGAAAGCUAGGGUCUCGAACCGGAUUAGAUACCCGGGUAGUCCUAGCUGUAAACGAUGCUCGCUAGGUGUGGCACAGGCUACGAGCCUGUGCUGUGCCGUAGGGAAGCCGUGAAGCGAGCCGCCUGGGAAGUACGUCCGCAAGGAUGAAACUUAAAGGAAUUGGCGGGGGAGCACUACAACCGGAGGAGCCUGCGGUUUAAUUGGAUUCAACGCCGGA
rnacentral:rRNA from 1 species